UUGACGGGACCCGCACAAGCGGUGGAUGAUGUGGUUUAAUUCGAUGCAACGCGAAAACCUUACCCACCUUUGACAUGUACGGAACCCUUUAGAGAUAGAGGGGUGCUCGAAAGAGAGCCGUAACACAGGUGCUGCAUGGCUGUCGUCAGCUCGUGUCGUGAGAUGUUGGGUUAAGUCCCGCAACGAGCGCAACCCUUAUCAUUAGUUGCUACAUUCAGUUGGGCACUCUAAUGAGACUGCCGGUGACAAGCCGGAGGAGGGUGGGGAUGACGUCAAGUCCUCAUGGCCCUUAUAGGUGGGGCUACACACGUCAUACAAUGGCUGGUACAAAGGGUUGCCAACCCGCGAGGGGGAGCCAAUCCCAUAAAGCCAGUCGUAGUCCGGAUCGUAGUCUGCAACUCGACUACGUGAAGUCGGAAUCGCUAGUAAUCGUGGAUCAGAAUGUCACGGUGAAUACGUUCCCGGGUCUU
rnacentral:rRNA from 1 species